UCUUUUCCUAUGCUUAGUUUUCAUCUAAGAUAGGGUCCAUUAGUUUCUGUGGCAUUCUACUCCAGAACAGUAUCUCUGUUCCCAGUCUUUCUAUGUCGCAACUGUAUAUACCAAAGUGAGAAAAUAGUUGCUCUCCAUAGCCUGUGUUUGUUUUAAACAAAUAUGUUAUUCUCCUCCAGCCUCCUUGGUGCUGCAACCUUCAGUACAAUCACUAUCUUUACUGAGUUCAGAAGCUUACAGAAAAUAAUUGAGUGGCCAACUUGAAACAUUUUUUGUUCUUUCAGUGACUACUUGCUCUAUUGCUUCCCAGAGUUUGACUGUUGCCUUGCCAAAGGAGGCAGCAAAGAGCUCAGCAGCUGAAUGAAUGAUGUGAAACAGUCAGCACGGAGAAGUCUUGGGAGGGGGCAGCUAAGGCAAUCGGGAGGCCUGGGAUAGCCCAUUAACCUUUACUGUUCCUGUUUUUGAAGAUCCUGCCAGGAAUAAGAGGUAGAAAGACAGACAAGACUGUGAGAAGAUUCAUCGAGGAGGCCACUGUCCAAGAAGGGGCAGAGGAUCUCAGUUGGAUGCAUGGGAAAUGGGGAGUGCCAGAAGCCAGCUGGACUGCAGUGUGGGCCGGGAAUGAGGAAACAGUUGGGAUGGUCUGUGCAGGGAGAGCAGGCACAGCAAAGGCUGUGCUGGCAGUGGAUGCUCUGAAAGGGCAGAGGAAUAUUUUGGGUAUAUAAGGAUAAAGAAUUUCUGUGAGGGAAGAAAUGUGGAACAGUAAGACAGACUAAAUAGGGUGGGAUUUGGGGUCUGAACUAUUAGCUUGGGUUAAGAGAUAUGGGGUAGAAAGAACCACAAAUUUGAAAAUCUGCAGUAAGAGGAUGGGAAUCUGGAAUCUAAGAUAAAGGACCUAGGUAUUUGCUCUAGGAUCCUGGGGAAAAAGGAGUGAAAUGUCCUGAUGGUUCUUCUGAGGUGGAAGGAGUUCCACUUUCACUCCAUUGUCUGCCAGUCUCCUCACUCUGGGCUACCCAGGCAGGGCAAGGUGUGGACACAUUUGUCAAUCCUGUGCUAUGUUCUGUUUUUGCUGUCAAAAACUGGAUAAUGCUAACCCAAACAUUUUACUCCUAAAGUGUUCUCCUUAUUACACUCAUUUGUAACUCUAGCAGUCGGGUGUGUAAUGAUAUGACCAAAGAGGUGGGAUUCAUAAUUUUUAUUUCUGUGAUGAAUUUUAAUUUGUAGGACACUGCCUUAGCAAGUAAUUCUUAUGUACUAUACUUUAUACUUUUCACAUUUUUUUCUCCUUCCUGCAGGCACAGUGACAAUGGUGUCAAGUGACAAUUCAACAGAUCAUGAAAGAUCAAGGUCCAUCCUGAAGUGGAAAACUAAGCUGAAACAGAAGCAGCAGCACUGCUGGUAAGUGCAGACUUCGUGCCUUGUUUCAGCAGCUUUCACUCUAAAUGAGGUGAAAUGAUGGUUCUACAGAAAAACAUCAAAACAAACAGAAAGCUGCAGUUCUUACUCAUCAUGUACAAUCAUGGGCCCAUCACGGUUGGAAGUUUCCUCUUUGAUGAUGCUGA